CGGGACGGGUGAGUAAUGUCUGGGAAACUGCCUGAUGGAGGGGGAUAACUGCUGGAAACGGUAGCUAAUACCGCAUAACGUCGCAAGACCAAAGAGGGGGACCUUCGGGCCUCUUGCCAUCGGAUGUGCCCAGAUGGGAUUAGCUAGUAGGUGGGGUAACGGCUCACCUAGGCGACGAUCCCUAGCUGGUCUGAGAGGAUGACCAGCCACACUGGAACUGAGACACGGUCCAA
rnacentral:rRNA from 1 species